rnacentral:lncRNA from 1 species
AUUCAUGAUAUAGUCUUUCUCUCACUCUUGAUUUAACAAUUUUACAUAUUUAGAAACUCAUGCCACUAACAUUUUAUUUUUAAUGUAACCCAUUUACCAAAAUUUAUUUUGUGUGGAUUGACCUAGUUUUUAGUGUGCAUUGUAGAUUACCAAUAUAACAAAUAGUAGUUUAUGUUAUUGCCAUGACUAGGGAGAUUUGGUGCUGUUACUACCGGUAUUGUGUUUAUUUUGUUUUUGUCUAUAGUGCUAACCGAGUGCAAUUUAUGUUGUGUUCUAACCGUACUUUUGUUUUAGAUAUGAUGAAAGAAUUCCUAGGUAUAAGAAUACUUAUCACAAGAAACUAUUCAUGUCAGUUUGAUUUUUUAUUUUUUAAACAUACCCAGUUCAUAUUAAAAGAAUUAAACAUGGUGAUAACAAUUAAUUGUAAAAAUAAUAUUGAUUAUUUCAUUAGAAUAUGAAGGAAAGUUCAUGUUUGGGCAAGGGUCAUUUAUGGUGGAAAGUCCAUUUGAUGAAAUGUAAACUUACUCAGAGAAAAAAAAUAUUUGUGGGGUAUUAAAGAAAUCCCUUUGUACCCUCCCACAACCAUUUAAAAAGCCUACAAUGCUAAAAAAAUGAGAAAUCAAACAGUAAAGAUCAGAAUCUUAGAUUCAGACCAAUAAAACCAGACUUCAUUACAAUUAUGUUUAAAGUAAUGUCUGAAUGUUAGAAGGUUGCCUUUUUUCUGAAUUAAAGUGCAUAAAAGUUACCUGUUUAAUUAUAUAAGCAAUUUGAUGAAAGGUCUUGUUUUUUCUAUGCAAUGCUAUGUCCUAACUAUUUGUCCUAUCUUUUUGCUUUGUGAUGAUGUAGUUAUUUGUCCAUGAUUGUAGCUUGUAGUUGUGCGUCACAUUUACCUUGCUUUUAAUCAUGUAGUUUUGAAAGUAUGGCAGCUGUAAAACAUUUUGAGACAAAUACAUUCUGUUAAUUAUGUAUGCUUGAUUAAUUGCUGUAGUAAGAAAGAUGUUGCAUGUUAAAACUCAAAAAAGUAUUUCCCCACCAGAAACAGAUAAAGAAACAAAUUUUAAAGAAUUGUAACAAAACUGUAAUAAAUGAUAUUGUCUUUCUCUAAUUCUGUAAAUGUUGCUGUAAACCAUUAGUUUCUUUAUAAUUUAGUGAUAAACGUGGUUAUUUCACUCCUCUGACGUCAUACAACAAUAGGUAUUGUCAAGACGUGGAUAACGUCAGAUCAAAACAAAUUGUGAAUGCGUAGAAAAAGAUAUAGUUCCUUACAUUUUCUACUUUAAUUUCAUAAAAAAAAAGCCAUUUGCCAAUGUAAUAAAAAGAAUAACUAAUCAAAGAAUUCAAAUAUUGAAAAAUAUUCAACUCGUGACCGAACAACAUUGAUAAUUAACUCAUGCGCCAUGCACAUUCGUGAAUUAAUGUGUUGUUUGGUUACUCGUUGAAUAUUUUUCUCUAUUUGAAUUCUUCAAUUAGUUAUUCUAUAAUUAUUUUAUGGUAAACAUUGAUUUUUGUUGUUGUAAUUUUACUUUAUUUUUAGGAUGAGAUCCUCACCUCGAUAAUAUAAGAUUCAGAAAAGGCUUGGAGUUUCUAUAGUUUGAUUAUAUUCCAUAUUUACAUAUGUAUGAUAUUUGUUAAAUAAAAAUUUAUACUAAAUGAUAAAAAUAUCCACCAGACCCUAUAAAUUUUUGGAUUUGUUCAUGCUAUCACAACAUGUUUUGUUCUUG